GGUGGCCAUGGUUUGAAGACUGAGUUUUCAAAACCGAAUCUGAUGUCCAGUCUACAUUUCACGGUGACAACAACGUUCUACUUCUACUGCAGCAGGACGAGAUGACUGCUCCUGCUGGGUAUAACACUCUUGGUCGUAUUCUGGCGCCGCUGGCCAGAGAAGC